rnacentral:rRNA from 1 species
GACGAACGCUGGCGGCGUGCUUAACACAUGCAAGUCGAACGGAAAGGCCCUGCUUUUGUGGGGUGCUCGAGUGGCGAACGGGUGAGUAACACGUGAGUAACCUGCCCUUGACUUUGGGAUAACUUCAGGAAACUGGGGCUAAUACCGGAUAGGAGCUCCUGCUGCAUGGUGGGGGUUGGAAAGUUUCGGCGGUUGGGGAUGGACUCGCGGCUUAUCAGCUUGUUGGUGGGGUAGUGGCUUGCCAAGGCUUUGACGGGUAGCCGGCCUGAGAGGGUGACCGGCCACAUUGGGACUGAGAUACGGCCCAGACUCCUACGGGAGGCAGCAGUGGGGAAUAUUGCACAAUGGGCGGAAGCCUGAUGCAGCAACGCCGCGUGCGGGAUGACGGCCUUCGGGUUGUAAACCGCUUUCGCCUGUGACGAAGCGUGAGUGACGGUAAUGGGUAAAGAGGCACGGGCUAACUACGUG